AUGUAUAUGUACCCGAUGAGGUACCCCCUCGUCAUAUAUAUGUUAUCAUGGCCGACCCUCUCAAGUGUCGAAGCCCAUAACCCCAAAACCCUUUGUCUAUCAUGGUAUCAGAUGCGAUCUAGCGAUCCUGACCUAGCCAUGUCGUCUUCCGCUGCUUCCUCCGAGGCCGCCGCCACCGCUGCCCUCUACGGCGCGGCCACCCUCGCUGCCCUCUCCGGCGCGGCGAAUAUGUCCGCCGCCACCACCUUGCUCGCCGAACCCUAUUCGGCCCCUGCGUCGCUCACUGAUCCGAUCGGGACGGGCGCGUCCGUCUUCGCCUCGCCGUUCCUGUCCAACCUUCUCCAAGGAGGAAGAUCGACAGGAGCCUUGUUUUCCGGGGCGACGUCCUCGGCUCCUCCCGGCUCACCGGCUCUACGCCCCAACUACGGCGCGUUGGCACCCUACACGCCGCCGCCGCCGUAUGCGUACGACCCCGCCGCCUACGGUGCUUUUUACGGCGCUCCCUAUGGUGCUCUCUACGGUGCACCCUACAGCGCCCCCUACGCUGGUCAUGGCAUCGGCUAUGGUGCACCUCCUGGUGCCGGCUAUGGUGCUCCGUAUGGCCCUAGCUACGCGGGGUUCCCGCAGCCUGCGACUCAUGGUGCGUCACCACAAGCGCCACCGGUUGCGCCGCAGUCCUCACCUGCGGUGGAUGUCGCUUCCUCCAGUGUGGUUCCUGUGCCGCCCUAUGACUUCGCCCUCGACGUCAUCAUGACUCCGUCGUUCUACUUCAGCAAUCUCCUGCCGGUGAAAUUGAAGAUGGACAAUUAUUUGUUUUGGCGCACACAGAUUCUUCCCCUCCUCCGUAGUCACUACUUGGAGGGUUUUGUGGAUGGUACUCUGCCAUGUCCCCCGCCGGAUCAUCAUAUGUACCGGCCAUGGAUUGCUCAAGAUCAAGCAAUUCUCUCGGCGAUUCAGUCCUCUCUCACCGAGGGCGUCGCCGGAUUGUUUUAUUUGCUACUACGUCUCAUGAGGUAUGGGAUGCGCUGGAGUCCAGUUUCUCCGCACAAUCCUCGUCUCUGCACAUGGCUCUUCAUACACAGCUUAAUGAGACUUGCAAGGAUCAUCACUUUGUCACCAUUUUCUUCAACAAGAUCAAACACCUCGCCGAUCAGCUUGCCUCCAUCGGCGAGCCACUUCGUGACACAGAGUUUACCACAUAUGUUCUCCAAGGUCUCGAUGCCGAGUAUGACUCUCUUGUGGAGGUGA
rnacentral:rRNA from 1 species